GGGGGACGGCCAUCUCGGGGGCUGUUUGGUGGCCAUGGGGGUCAAAUUGAGGCCGUGAGUGUAGUUGGGGGGCGGUGGUCGCGGUGGUGGCAACCCAACAGUGUGUGGUUAUGAGGGUGGUGGGGGUCAUGGGGGGCAGCCCGAAAACGUGGGGGGGGGAAGGGGGUCUGUAGGACAUCAUCAGUCCUGGUUUGUAGGGCAUCUGUCCGUCUGUAGGACGUCUAUGGAGGUCUGUAGGACAUCUGUCCAUCUGUAGGACAUCCAUGGAGGUCUGUAGGGCAUCUGUCCUUCUAUAGGACAUCUAUGGAGGUCUGUAGGAUGUCAGUCCUGGUUUGUAGGGCAUCUGUCCUAUAGGACAUCUAUGGAGGUCUGUAGGGCAUCUGUCCUUCUAUAGGACAUCUAUGGAGGUCUAUAGGACAUCUGUCCAUUUGUAGGACAUCUAUGGAGGUCUGUAGGGCAUCUGUCCUUCUAUAGGACAUCUAUGGAGGUCUGUAGGACUUCUGUCCUUCUAUAGGACAUCCAUGGAGGUCUGUAGGACAUCUGUCCUGGUUUGUAGGACAUCUGUCCAUCUGUAGGACAUCUAUGGAGGUCUGUAGGACAUCUGUCCAUCUGUAGGACAUCUAUGGAGGUCUGUAGGGCAUCUGUCCGUCUGUAGGACAUCUAUGGAGGUCUAUAGGAUGUCAGUCCUGGUU
ensembl:lncRNA